CAGGACUGGAUGUCUACAUUCAUCUCCACAUCAAGUUCCCAAAGACAGAAAAAAGAAGUUUUACAUUCCAAAUAUCAUACUUUAGGAACUGUCAUGCCUGAAGCCCAUCACUGAGAAGUUGAUUUCUAGACCUGGCCUGGUAUCAUUUUGGUUAAUCCAGACGUCUGAAAGCUGCUCUAGUAGUCUGAGCAGUAGGAUUCCUGCUGAAGUUUUCUCUUGGACAAGGUACCAUGAACACACAUUAUGAGCUUAACAUGAGCCAGGGAUCGUUUCCAUCCCAUACUGUGGAUGGCACCAUCCUGUUAUGAGAGGUGCUGCCACCUCAGCCUCAGGAGGGUUGCCAUCCAUGCUGAGGUGGUCCUCAAGCUGAUCAGCAUCCAGAAGAUUCAGCAGAGCUGGACUGUGGGAAAACUGUGGGAAGGCUUCUUGAGGAACAAGGAAGUCCAAAAGCUCCUGUUCAAGAAUGCAACAGUUGAGGGACAUAUUUUGCUUCCACCUGCUCUCAGACAAACCCAUUACACAGAAGGGAAUAAGAGUUCACUCUUCUGAUAAAUAGUUCAAAAAGGCCAGUAAAAGUAACUUCAGAGAAGUAUAGCUUGCAGCUGAAGUGAAAAGCAAGAAGGUUUGAGUCUUAUGAACACUUUCAUUGGGUCUGGUCUCAAAGAAGCUAAAGGUCUUUAACAGACCCUAGAAUGCCCUCGGAGUUUCUGUGAGCCAGGAACAAUUGCCACUUGCUGUCUGAUGCCAUGAUACUUUGAAGUGUAAUAGUUUAUUCAUAUGGAUACAAGUUCUGCAGAGCCAAAUCACUUCAAGAAAAGAGAACUGCUUUCUCUGGCCAGUGUUUUUACCUUUUCCUGUUAGAUGGAUGUUAUAUAGCUCACACUUGUGUAAUCGUAUUUUUCUAUAUUCAGCAGUGACUUAAGCAUUCUUUUACAUAGACAUAGAUUUAUAUGUAAAUGACAGAGGGAAUAAAACAAACUCAAAUCUUUAUCUCUGUCCAUUAUAUAAUUUUUGAUUUACCCUCUGGUCUACACAAGAGCAUGUGCUUGCUGUGU